ACGGGAGGCAGCAGUGGGGAAUAUUGCACAAUGGGCGCAAGCCUGAUGCAGCGAUGCCGCGUGAGGGAAGAAGGUUUUCGGAUUGUAAACUUCUUUUAUGAGGGACGAAGGACGUGACGGUACCUCAUGAAUAAGCCACGGCUAACUACGUGCCAGCAGCCGCGGUAAUACGUAGGUGGCAAGCGUUAUCCGGAUUUACUGGGUGUAAAGGGCGCGUAGGCGGGGAUGCAAGUCAGAUGUGAAAUCUAUGGGCUUAACUCAUAAACUGCAUUUGAAACUGUAUCUCUUGAGUGCUGGAGAGGUAGACGGAAUUCCUAGUGUAGCGGUGAAAUGCGUAGAUAUUAGGAAGAACACCAGUGGCGAAGGCGGUCUACUGGACAGUAACUGACGCUGAGGCGCGAAAGCGUGGGGAGCAAACAGGAUUAGAUACCCUGGUA
rnacentral:rRNA from 1 species